UACGAAGGGUGCAAGCGUUACUCGGAAUUACUGGGCGUAAAGCGUGCGCAGGCGGCGCGUUAAGACAGGUGUGAAAGCCCCGAGCUUAACUUGGGAAUUGCGCUUGUGACUGGCGUGCUGGAGUGUGGCGGAGGGAGGUGGAAUUCCACGUGUAGCAGUGAAAUGCGUAGAGAUGUGGAGGAACACCGAUGGCGAAGGCAGCCUCCUGGGCCAGCACUGACGCUCAUGCACGAAAGCGUGGGGAGCAAACAGG
rnacentral:rRNA from 1 species